UUAAGAACAUUAAUUAUAAAGUUAUACCCCGAAAGGUUUAUCUUUUAAAUCAUUAAAAAGUAAUUAUAAAUAAUGUACCUUUUGCAUCAGGGGUUAAGAAAUAAGAUUAUUAAAUUAAUAACCUCCCGAAAGAAGCAGGAUCUUAAACUUUAUUGUUGGUUGUUGUUUCAUUAACAUUAAUAAUAAUAUUUAAGAAGCUAAAAGUUAUGACGACUCUUCUGAUCACCUGGUUUGCUAUUUAGUGUUUUUUAAGAAGGCAGAGAGUUAAUUGAAGUUUAAGCACUUUAUUAUUUUCUUUUAAUUAUAAAGGGACAAGCUUUUAUAACUUUAGGAAGAUCAAUUUAUAGCUUAUCUUCAUGACAAGAUAGACGUUAUUUAUCUAUUUAUAGAUCUACCUUUAGAAUAGCAUCUUUAGUGAAAUAAUUUUUAACUAUAAAAAUAAUCUUAACAUUAGUACUUCAAUAAAUCAAUUAUUAAAAGGAACUAGGCAAACAUUUAGCCGGACUGUUUAAUAAAAACAUUUCCUCUUGCAUAAAAGGGAGGUAAAGUCUGCUCGGUGUAAUUGAUUAACAGCUGCAGUAACUUGACUGUACAAAGGUAGCGUAAUCACUUGUCUUUUAAUUGAAGACUAGAAUGAACGGCUUAACCAAGCUAAUUCUGUCUCUUUU
rnacentral:rRNA from 1 species